GCUCUAAACUCUGGCUCCGCAGGAGUUAACAACUUUGCCUCAACAUUAAAGAACACACAAUGUCACAUAUAAGACUUCAGAAUGUAACCCUGCAGCUGCUCAGUGGAACAGACAGACUGUCACAGAAACCGAUUAAGAGUGAAGAGGAAGCAGAGAAGGAGGAAGAAAGUGAAGAUGUGAGACAAAGAGAGGAGACGUGUCAGCAGCACGUCCAUGUGAAUGGAGAGAGAGAAGAGAAGGAGGAGGAAGACGAGCAUGAGGAUGAUUCUAACAGAGUGGGCGAGACUGUGAAGGAUCAGGAAGUAUCAACAGAGAAGCAGGCAGAGGCAGCAAGUGAGUCAAAGACACAGGCAGAGACUUUAGAGAAAACUGAUCCCAACCCAGCUUCAGCCGCUGAACCCAAACAACCAGAGACACCAGCAGCUGAGGCUGCAGCAGAGUCUACAGUACAAGAGGAGCAGGUGGAGCUCUCUUUUCCAGAAACCUCUACACAGGAAAAAGACACCAACAGGUCUGCAGAGUCACAAGACGAACCUGAAGAGAGACCUCCACCUGCAGACCGACAGGAAAGUGUGUCAGAAGUAAAAGCUGCAGCGAGCAGCGAGAUGAAGCAGGAGUGUGUGGAGGACAGAGAGCACGAAGGAGAAAUACAAGCUGACUCUCAGAAAGCUUUUUCACCCCCCGGUUAACCCCCCUCCACCCCCGAACGCCCUUCAAAAGAGCUCAGGAGAAGACGUGAGUCUGACUGGGGGAAUGGGUGAGGAAAAUGGAGAGGAGCCAUUUUUCCAGAACACAAAUCCUGCAAAAACCCCCCGCAGCUCCCAGUGAGGAGGAAGAGGAGGAUGAGAUGAGUCUGAAGGGCCGCCCACCCCCCGCCCCUCUGUUUGGUGAUGAUGAGGAGGAGGAUGAUGAUCUAGACUGGCUGAACUGAGCUGUAUCCAGGAUAAAAUCAAAGUCUGCGUCUUCAUUUCCAGCAUAUAUAAAAAGGCGCAUGGUUCCUUCUGCAGCUGUGUCUGCCCUGUGGGAGCAGUGAAGAUGACAGGGGCGGCCUCUGCGGCUGGAUCUGAUUGGACG